rnacentral:tRNA from 1 species
GCCUGGGUGGCUCAGUCGGUUAAGCGUCUGACUUCAGCUCAGGUCAUGAUCUCACAGUUCGUGGGUUCGAGCCCCACAUGGGGCU